UAACCUGGUUGAUCCUGCCAGUAGUCAUAUGCUUGUCUUAAAGGUUUAUCCAUGCAUGUGUAAGUAUAAGUAUUGUACAGCGAAACUGCGAAUGGCUCAUUACAUCAGUUAUAAUUUAUUUGAUAAUCGAAAGUUACAUGGAUAACCGUGACAAAUUACAGCUAAUACAUGCAGUCAGACCUGGUCCAAGGGUCGUAAUUAUUAGUAUUAAACCAUUUCCGCAAGGAGUGUGAUGAUUCAUAAUAAUCGAACGAAUCGCCUGGUGUGCGAUAAAUCAUUCAAGUUUCUGCCCUAUCAGCUUUGGAUGGUAGUGUAUUGGACUACCAUGGCAGUCACGGGUAACGGAGAAUUAGGGUUCGAUUCCGGAGAGGGAGCCUGAGAAACGGCUACUACAUCUACGGAAGGCAGCAGGAGCGAAAAUUGCCCAAUCCCGACACGGGGAGGCAGUGACGAGAAAUAACAACUCUUGGUUAUUCUAAGAAGUGUAAUGAGGAUAAUUUAAAACCCUUACCGAAAGCAAUUGGAGGGCAAGUCUGGUGCCAGCAGCCGCGGUAAUUCCAGCUCCAAUAGCGUAUAUUAAAGUUGUUGCAGUUAAAAAGCUCGUAGUUGAAGUUCUGGCUGCUCGACCCUCGAGCUCUGUAGCCGAGGGCUCGGCAGUCAUCCGCUUGCAAACAUAUGUUCGCCUUUAACCGGGCGGCUAUGUGAGCAAGCAUUUUACCUUGAGAAAAACAGAGUGUUCCAGGCAGGUUUGCCCGGAAUGCAUUAGCAUGGAAUAAUAGAAUAUGACUGAAGUCGAUUUAUUGGUUUGAGGCUUUAGUAAUGAUUAAUAGGAACAGUCGGGGGCAUUGGUACUUGUCAGUCAGAGGUGAAAUUCUAGGAUUUGACAAAGACUAACAAAUGCGAAAGCAUUUGCCAAGGAUGUUUUCAUUAAUCAAGAACGAAAGUUAGGGGAUCAAAGACGAUCAGAUACCGUCCUAGUCUUAACUAUAAACUAUACCGACUCGGAUUCAGAUGAAUCAUAAAGUUCAUUUGGGACCGUAGGAGAAAUCAAAGUUUUUGGGUUCUGGGGGAAGUAUGGUCGCAAGGCUGAAACUUAAAGGAAUUGACGGUUUUGCACCACCAUGGAGUGGAGUCUGCGGCUUAAUUUGACUCAACACUGGGAAACUCAUCAGGGCAAGAAGAUUGUAGGAUUGACAGAUUGAGAGUUCUUUCUUGAUUGGUCUAGUGGUGGUGCAUGGCCGUUCUUAAUUGGUGGAGUGAUUUGUCUGGUUAAUUCCGUUAACGAACGAGACCUUAACCUGCUAACUAGUAUAUCGAUGACAAAUCGAUAUUACUUCUUAGAGGGACUAUGUGAUGUAAUCACAUGGAAGUUUGAGGCAAUAACAGGUCUGUGAUGCCCUUAGAUGUCCUGAGCUGCACGCGUACUACAAUGGUGCUUUCAACGAGCUUUUCCUGAUCCGAAAGGAUUUGGGUAAUCUUUUUAGUGAGCACCGUGUUUGGGAUAGAUCUUUGUAAUUAUGGAUCUUGAACUAGGAAUUCCUAGUAAGCGCGCGUCAUCAGCGCGUGCUGAUUACGUCCCUGCAAAAUGUACACACCGCCCGUCGCUAUUACCGAUUGAGUGUAAAGGUGAACCUUCUCGAUAGACGCAAGUUUAAAAAUUAAGUAAACCUUUGCACUUAGAGGAAAUAAAAGUCGUAACAAGGUUUCCGUAGGUGAACCUGCAGAAGGAUCA
rnacentral:rRNA from 1 species